UUCCAACAUCGAAAACCUCAUUCACGAAACCCUCUCACAUACUUUACCGAUCAACUUACCUUAAAUUCCACUGCAAGCUCACUACAAUUACCACUUCUCAAUUACCACUCUCUAACACUCUCAUGCCGGAAGCGGAAGUCCAAUUUAUUCACUCACUGUUCAAAUGCUUAACAUUCAUACAAUAUUCGCACGCAUGUCAGCCGACUAUCCGACUCUCCAAAUCAUCCAGCAUAUGUUUUUAUAUUAUUGAUGAGCCCUGGGUUUAAGCUCAGCGCAAUUAUCCAUUAUCGGGCUCCGAAGUAAGCAUUUCUCAGAAGACGACAGAUGAGCAACCAGUGAAUCCGUCACAAAUUUUAAUACCAAAAAAAGGAACACAAUGGGAGUUCUGCUGGAAUCGCUAUGUCGUGACUGCAAAUAGCAAAGAAGAAAUCGGAAGCAUCGAAGAAAAUAUGUCGGGUAUCAGCACUUUGUAAAAUUGGAAAGCACACUUCUAUGAACAUGACUGCUGCAAAUUUACUGAAGCACGUUCUAACAUACGAUGCUGGACAGAAGUUUUCUUUCGAGGAAAGGUCACAAAAAAAAUCCACGUUCAAAAAUCUGAAGCUGUAUUCAGCUAUAGAAUGUGCUAUGGACAUUCUUUACCCUGAUGUAACUGCUGUCAUGGUGAAGAAAUACGUCAGUGAAUGGUUAAGCUAAUGCAAGUAUCGCCAAAAACGGACGCUGUAAAAAUAAUAGUUUUCCUAUAGCAAUCAGCUUUAGAAAAAAUAUUAUUUAAUGAAUUGAAGUCCCUUACAUUUCAGGGACAGAGAAAAUAGGAAUGUAGAGAAGGAGGGCCGCAUGCACCUCGACUUGGAAGACAAUGAUGAGGAGGAAUAACAUAACUGAAUGA